GGUUGCUGAGGCAGGGCUUUGGCUACUGGAGACUGUAGGUUCGAAUCCUAUCUAGGAACUUCAGUUUGCGCACCUGUAAAAGAAGCUGGCAUUAUUGGCUGGCACAGAAUGUGUCGGUGGAAGCCAGCCACCAUGUUGUGAGGACACUCAAGCAGCCCCUUGGGGAGACACCUGUACCACAGAACUGAGGCACCUCAGCCAAAAGCCAGCACUAACCCACCAGCCAUGUGAGUGAUCCAAAAUGGAAGUGGAGCCUCUGUCCCCACUCCAGCCUUCAGAUGACUGCAGCCUAAGAGACCAAAGCCAGAAUGAUGCAGCUAAGCUGCUCUGAGUUCCUGACUCCCCAAAACUGUGUGAGAUAAUUAAUGUUUACCAUUGUUUUAAGCUGCUAAAUUUUGGGGUAAUUUGUGGUGUU